rnacentral:rRNA from 1 species
UACGGGGGGGGGCAAGCGUUGUUCGGAAUUACUGGGCGUAAAGGGCUCGUAGGCGGCCAACUAAGUCAGACGUGAAAUCCCUCGGCUUAACCGGGGAACUGCGUCUGAUACUGGAUGGCUUGAAUCCGGGAGAGGGAUGCGGAAUUCCAGGUGUAGCGGUGGAAUGCGCAGAUAUCAGGAGGAACACCGGUGGCGAAGGCGGGAUCCUGGGCCAGUACUGACGCUGAGGAGCGAAAGCGUGGGGAGCAAACAGG